rnacentral:lncRNA from 1 species
GUUGGUGGAGAGCGAGCUUGCGAACGCAUUGGAGGCGUCGGUUCGGGCUUUCGUGCGACCGUUGCAACGAUGUGUUUUCGUCGCGGCAUUCACAUUGAGGUAAGCUUUUGGGAUUUGGCUUAAUCCUUAGUUUUAAGUGUUCUAAUAGUCUCUAAUGAGCAUUCUAAAUAUGUUUGCUCUAUUUAAUUUGGAUUAUUUAGAGGUUAAUUGCAUGUUAGGGCUCCGAAUGGGGUUUUGUAAAAUGUAUGGGUUUGAUCUCAUUUGACCCUCCGUAAACCAAAUUGCUAGGUAACGAAACGCGUUGGCGAAGACGGUUCGGCAAUCCGACGAGCCGUUACAAAGUUAUUAAAGAAAUAGACGUUUAGGCUUCGGGUCCGCCGGGAGGGCCGAGGCGACAUCGUAAAAUCAUGAAAACGGAUUUGAAGCAUCGUGGCACAUAACCGAAGACCUUUAAUUUUCGGAUCGUGAAUUGGAGGCCGUUCGGUUGGUCGCGCAAGAGAUCGGGCCAAACCGAGUGCCGGGUGCCGCGGGAGGCCGAUUGUAAGUGUCGACAAGCAAUCGGAAUGCGAAAUGAGGUGGGUUGUGCUUACCGAAGCGACUAGGUCGCCCUUUAUGUCUAAGAAUUGAGAUUUCAUAUUGAUGCAUAUUGUCAUAAUAUAAGAAUGUGAAAAGAAUGCAUGUUAACAUACUUUAGAAUAUGCUAAAUGUAAUGCAUAAUGAAUUAAGUGCUAAAAGAAUGCAUGAGAUGCUAAGUAUGGACUACUUUGGAUAAUGACUAUAUGUAUGUUGACAAAUCAUGUGAUGCUAGUGGUAUAUGUGCAUGAUGAUAUAUUAUGAAUUUACAUAUUGUGGAUUAUGUUAAAUAGAAAAACAUACUUGAUGACAUAUUGCCAUGUUGUGGAACAUAGUGGACAAUCUAUAUAUAUAUUAGAUCGAGUGGCAUUAAACCUAGCAUCUUGAACCUAGCAAACACUUGUGGUGAUUGAUCAUAUAUAUUCUGGUGUCAUUCAUGUAUGUUAGGACCCUAUUAUUGUGUAAAUGUGAGAGUUGGACUUGAACAUUAGUAAACAAGGGUGACAAUGACAAUAGAGACAUGAUUGGCAUCAAGAAAGUGAUUGUUAAACAUAGUUUAACCAUAUUGACAUUGGUCCAAGUUGACAUAGAGUGGCAUGAUUAAAUAGGUAGAAACCUAUUGUGACAUUGGCAUUGUGACUAGUGGCUAUGUAUCCUCAAGUUGAGGAUUGGAUCGACACUCACGAUAAGUCUUGGCUUGAGGGAGGUAGCUCCCCCUCGGGCGGUGCGCUCCGGAGUUGGUCACCACUGGGCGUGGUAAAGUCCCACCAGUUGACGGUCCCUAGGGAGGUUCGAGUCCCCCGUUAUUAAGGGAUUUGGUUGUGAGUUAUUGGGGUUAACAUGGUUAACCGGUAAGAUUGGGUCAUAGCCAAAUGAGUGUACAACAAGUAUGCAUUAUGAGUUAUGGAUUUGGUAUCCUAGUCGAGAGGAUCUAGGGCUGAGGUGUAUGUGAGACGUCCAUCGCCUCGAGCCUGGUUCUAGUGCGGUACUCCGCAGACGAUUGACUCAAGACCGAGUCGGGUGGUUAGCCUUGUAAAGGAAGAUGAAACCUUAUGAUUAAAACGGUGAUUGACAAGAAUCUAAGAUAGAGGAAACCUUAAAUAUCAAAUGGAUGAGCUAUGGUUAGCAGAAUUGAAAGUAGUAUCGAAUGAACUACUAGUUGGUUGCAUAGUUGCAUUAUUGCAUGAUUUGCAUAUAGCAUUACAUUAUUGCAUUCGUGAGGCAAUGCAUGGUUUUAUUCGUUGCAUAAUCAAGAUAUAUAUCUAUCUGUUUAUUGAACUAACUUGCAGUUGCCUCCCUUGGACCUAUUGGUCGAACUUUUCCCUUGGGUGGCCGUACCCACUGGGAACCAUGGAGUUGGUUCUCACCCCACGUGGUUUUGGGGUGUUACAGGUUCACACGUGAGCGGCGCGGCGGCGCGAGGCGAGGGCGUAGCAUCAUAGUUAGCGCCCUACCACCGAGACCAGAGAUAGCGGUACCCUGAGUCGGCUUUUCUUAAAGAUGUAAGAAAAUGAAAGGAAUAAGAUUGUAAUAAUCAUGUUAAAUCGGAUUGUAUUUGGAAGUUAAAUGUAAUAAGUAUUUGGGAUGUAAAAUGUAUGAAUGUGAAUGCAUGUAAUAACAUAAGAUGUGUUAUGUUGUUUGAUACCUUCCAUUAUGCAAUCUUGAUUGAAAUGUGUUCCUGGUUGGAACUUUGUACAUUGUAUUGAUUGCUAUGCCUUGAACGUACAGGGGAGACUCUGUCCGCAGUACAGGGGAAACCCUGUCCGUUCGGCGAUCUGUUGCGGCGCCGCGACCCGGCCAAAUAGGCGGGCGGUCGCGGGGCGUGACAGAUAAGAUGGUAUCAGAGCAUAAAAGAAGCAUAAAGAGAACAUAAAAGAAUAAUAGAAAAUGGUUUAGUUGGACCUAGGAGACCCUAGGAUAGUAAACCAUAGGAGAUUAAGGCUCGUGAGAGACGAGGACUUGUUUCUUUUGGCGAAAGGUUAAUUGAUUGGGUUGUGUCAUAAACUUCUAAAACGGAUGUUAGAGGUAGACUCAAGGUGUGGUUUAUUC